CGGCCACCGUUCUUUGCAUGCGGGCAUCGAUGGUCAACGCUUCGGUGGCUAAUCAAAAGUACCUGGUGUCAACCUUGGUCCUCACCAUGGAAAUGAUUAAAAUAUCUCUGAUUGCGGCCCUGAUUGUCGCCACCGAAGCCAAAUUCUCCAUCAAAGAAGCGGCCAAGCUUCUGUACAAGGAGAUUCUGUGCCGGCCGCUAGACGCCUUGCCUUUGGCCGUGCCCAGUUUCCUCUACGUCGUCCAGGACAAUUUGAUCGUCUUCGCCCUGUCGUGCGUCGACGCCACCACCUACCAGGUAACCUAUCAGGCCAGAAUAUUGACGACGGCCUUAUUCGCCAGGAUUCUGCUCAAUCAAGUCCUGCCAAUCAAGAGAUGGCUUUCCCUGUUGCUGCUCAUGUCGGGAGUGAUUUUGACUCAGGUUAAUUUCAAUGGGGAAAUGGGUGAUUUGAGUUGGCGAGCUCAAAGAGAAGACGCGACUUAUUUGCUGGGUCUUUUAGCCAUCGGAUGCGCCACAAUGACCAGCGGAUUCGCCGGAGUCUACAACGAGAAGGUCAUCAAGAACGGGCAGCAACCACUGCUGCUGAUCAGAAGUUUCCAGCUCAGUUUGUUUUGCGUUUUCUUCGCCUUUAUGGGCGUCGUGAUCAAGGACGGCGUCGUCGUCCUGCGCCAAGGCUAUUUUCACGGCUACACUCCCUUUGUGUGGCUCAUAGCCACCAUGCAGGUGUCGAAAUCAUUAUCUAUUAGUUUAUAUUCAUCAAUAAUACCUACCGAAUAAUACUGUUAAAAAAAAAGGCUAUUGGCGGAAUUAUCGUGGCCGGAACGAUGAAGUACGCCGACAACAUUUUGAAAACGUUUGCCUCCGCCAAUUCGAUCGCCCUGUCCGGCGUCCUCUCCUAUUAUUUCCUACUGGACAACGGCGACACUUUCACGCCAACUUUCUUCUUCGGCACUUUGGUCAUCAUCUUCGCCACUUUUCUCUAUUCGUCCGUCAAGACCGUCCCUCAUCAUCACCCAAUAGCGGCCCCGCUUCCGUCGAAGAAUCGCCGACUCCUUCCGUACUCAACCAAAGUGCAACUGAGUGUCGUCUGCGCCGGAUUUGUGAUCUUAUUGAUUGCCGUUUUUCUGAUCCGUCAAAAUAACACAGUCGUCAUCGAUGCAACUCAAUUGGGACCAUCGGGAAACCUCCAGCAGUAUCGGGCAGCUGGCCAUCAC
rnacentral:misc_RNA from 1 species